UACGUAGGGUGCAAGCGUGUCCGGAAUUAUUGGGCGUAAAAAGCUCGUAGGCGGUCUGUCGCGUCGAAUGUGAAAACACGAGGCUCAACUUCGUGCCUGCAUUCGAUACGGGCAGACUAGAGUUCGGUAGGGGAGUCUGGAAUUCCUGGUGUAGCGGUGAAAUGCGCAGAUAUCAGGAGGAACACCGGUGGCGAAGGCGGGACUCUGGGCCGAUACUGACGUGAGGAGCGAAAGCGUGGGGAGCAAACA
rnacentral:rRNA from 1 species